UGCCCCCCGGGAACCCGGAGCGCUGCGGGGAGACCGGAGGCGACGGGAGCUCCCGGAGCGUGGAUUCUGGCAAAGGGAAGCUGGCGGACGAAGGCCUCCUGAAGGUCCCCGGCACAGCGCUCAGACCCCCCGGGCGCCCGGGACCUGCCUGGCCGCACACCUUGUGUUCUUGAGCGGAUGGCAUCCGAGGGGCAGAGUAAGCAAACCUGUCGAACAAAGUCGAAAACGCACUCGCAGUCCGCACCUCGUGGCUGGACAAAGGAGAAGUCUGAAGUGGUUAAUAAUUCAGAGAACCAAACCAGAAAUUAAAAGGGUUCCCCAAAGCCAGUCUACACUUUGCUUCCGUUGUUUUUAUAUUUCAGAGUGGAAUAGAGAGAAGGAAAAUACCAAGUGUUAGUGAGGAUGUGAAGUAAGUGAAUUUUUCCUACCCAGCAACUGGAAUGUAAACUGGAACAAAAAGAGAAAAACAAACACAAAACGAUGCGGCAUUAUCUAUUCAAGGAGCAUUUUACUGCCUAGGUUCAAUGGGUAAAGUUUCAAUUUUGCAAGAUGAAAAAAGUUCUGGUGAUGGAUAGCGGUGAUGGUUGCAUAACAAGGUGAAUGUAUUUAAUGCCCCUUCAAAAUGGUCAUAAUGGUAAAUUUUGUUAUUACUAUAUUUUACCACAGUUUUUUUUUAAGUGGGGGUGGGAAAAAGAGAAAACCCAAGUAUGCCUUCGAGAAUAAAUUUGAGGAUGCAAAUUUGAGGGAAACUUCUUGAAGAAGCCCCCAAAAGCAUUCCUCACCCCCCUUUUCCAUUCCCAGGGGAUUGUUGGGCAUUCUCAGUGCGAUUAAGUCGACUUUUUAUUUGACUCGAAGCUGUACCCAAGGACACAACAGAGAUUCUUGCGCUGUGAUAAGGAAAUGAGACAAGGAAAGCCUGCAUGGAAGCCUGGCCUUUUAAAUCCUGCAGUUGUGCCGUAGCAAAAAUGGCAAUAGAAUUAGUCUGAACGGCUGUGGAAGAAAUUUUACCUGCUGUGACUAGAAAUGAGUUGCACAAAGUUAUUUUAGGGAAAGCACUCUGAAAAGUUACAGUUUUAAGUCAUUUAAUGUUCGCGUCCGGUACAGUCACUGAUCCAGCAAGAAAAAAAAAAAAAAAUGUCCUGUGUCUUUUGCUAGUUAUUUCACUUGUUUGACUCUAACCAGGUAAAUACUUUUCCGGGAUCGUGAAUUGUAGAUGAUUGAAAUGGUGAAAAACAUUAAAGAAAAAUUAGAACAUAUUCUUAAGGAAGAAAUCCUUAAAAAUUUUAUCACCUAGACUACAAGUCUGAAAACACAUGUGAGUGAACGCAUAGACAUCGAGAAAAGCCUAGUAGAAGCCACAAUACAGUAGUAGUUCCCCCUUAUCUGCAGGUUUGUUUUCCACAGUCUGAUCCAAAAAUCUUAAAUGAAAGCCUCCAGAAAUAAACAACUCAGUGUUUUAAAUUGCAGCCGUUCUGAAUAGUGUCAUGAAAUCUCGUGAUGUCCUGCCACUCUGUCCACCUGGGGCAUGAAACAUUCCUUUGUCCACCUAUCCACGCUAUAUACGCCCUCCGUAGCCACUUAGUAGCCAUCUUGGUUAUCGAAUUGACUGUCCCAGUACCCAAGUACUUGUGUUCAAGUAACACUUAUUUUAUUUAAAAAUGGCCCCAAAGCGCAAAAGUAGUGAUGUUGGUAAUUCGGAUAUACCAAAGAGAAGCCAUAAAGUGUUUCCGUGAAGUGAAAAGAGUAUCUGCAUGGGCCCAGUAUUGGAAUUUGAGAUGAGUUGCGUUAGAGAUUAUCUAGGUCCUUGAGCAAUUCUUUUGGUCCCAAAGAAAAAGAGGUAUGGCAAGGCCAAUAAAUCAUGAGAUGACUGCCAUGAAAACGGAAAUUUAUUAUACUCACAGAUCCUGAGAGGAAAGGGCACACCCCAUCAUGAGGAUCACACAAGGAAGCAUGGGGAUAAACUGGGGAGCCAAGUCAUUCUGGAAGGAAUGUGGAUGAAGUUUUCCGACGAGGACUUGAGGUUUUAUAGGUUGGAGUCAUAUCUGAUUCAAACCAUCUGUUGAAAUGUCAAGCUGAGCCCAUCACUUUUCUCAUACGUCUCUCAUAUUUUAUGUCAAUUCAGUAUAACAAAUAUUCAUUGAGGGCCCACGGAGUGCCAGACACUGGGAUUACAAAGAUGAACAACACAAGCGGUUCCUGUUUUUGAGAUGCUUAUCGUGGUCUAGUGCAGUGGUCGGCAAACCGAGGCUUGUGAGCCACAUGCAGCUGUUUGGCCCCUUGAGUGUGGCUCUUCCACAAAAUACCACAUGCGGGCGCGCAGGUACAGUGCA